AUUGAACGCUGGCGGCAUGCUUUACACAUGCAAGUCGAACGGCAGCGCGGGCUUCGGCCUGGCGGCGAGUGGCGAACGGGUGAGUAAUGCAUCGGAACGUGCCCAGUAGUGGGGGAAAGCCCGGCGAAAGCCGGAUUAAUACCGAAUACAACCUGGGGGGAAAAGGGGGGGACCGAAAGGCCCGGGGCAAUUGGAGCGGCCGAUGUCGGAUUAGCUAGUUGGUGGGGUAAAGGCUUACCAAGGCGACGAUCCGUAGCUGGUCUGAGAGGACGACCAGCCACACUGGGACUGAGACACGGCCCAGACUCCUACGGGAGGCAGCAGUGGGGAAUUUUGGACAAUGGGGGCAACCCUGAUCCAGCCAUGCCGCGUGCGGGAAGAAGGCCUUCGGGUUGUAAACCGCUUUUGUUCGGGAAGAAAUCCUCUGGGCUAAUACCCCGGGGGGAUGACGGUACCGGAAGAAUAAGCACCGGCUAACUACGU
rnacentral:rRNA from 1 species